rnacentral:rRNA from 1 species
GACGAACGCUGGCGGCGUGCCCAACACAUGCAAGUUGAGCGACGAACCAGGGCUUGCCCUGGGGCAAAGCAGCGAACGGGUGAGUAACACGUGGGUAACCUACCCCGAUAACCGGGACCACACGAGGAAACUCGGGCUAAUACCGGAUGUGCUCACUGGACUUCGGUUCAGUGCGUAAAGGAAGCUUCGGCCUCCGUAUCGGGAGGGGCCCGCGGCCCAUUAGUUAGUUGGUGAGGUAACGGCUCACCAAGACCGCGAUGGGUAGCUGGUCUGAGAGGACGAUCAGCCACACUGGGACUGAGACACGGCCCAGACUCCUACGGGAGGCAGCAGUGGGGAAUCUUGCGCAAUGCGCGAAAGCGUGACGCAGCAACGCCGCGUGGGGGAAGAAGGCCUUCGGGUUGUAAACCCCUUUCAGGAGGGACGAAGGUUCGGCGGUGAAUAGCCGUCCGGACUGACGGUACCUGCACAAGAAGCCCCGGCUAACUACGUGCCAGCCGCCGCGGUAA